GACGAACGCUGGCGGCGUGCUUAACGCAUGCAAGUCGAACGGAAAGGACCUGCUUUUGUGGGGUGCUCGAGUGGCGAACGGGUGAGUAACACGUGAGUAACCUGCCCUUGACUUUGGGAUAACUUCAGGAAACUGGGGCUAAUACCGGAUAGGAGCUCCUGCUGCAUGGUGGGGGUUGGAAAGUUUCGGCGGUUGGGGAUGGACUCGCGGCUUAUCAGCUUGUUGGUGGGGUAGUGGCUUACCAAGGCUUUGACGGGUAGCCGGCCUGAGAGGGUGACCGGCCACAUUGGGACUGAGAUACGGCCCAGACUCCUACGGGAGGCAGCAGUGGGGAAUAUUGCACAAUGGGCGGAAGCCUGAUGCAGCAACGCCGCGUGCGGGAUGACGGCCUUCGGGUUGUAAACCGCUUUCGCCUGUGACGAAGCGUGAGUGACGGUAAUGGGUAAAGAAGCACCGGCUAACUACGUG
rnacentral:rRNA from 1 species